AUGCAUUUUGAUUGGCCAUUUCUCUGGCGCUCUUUCUUUCUUUUUUUUUUUUUUUGGGGGGGGGGGGGUGUACGAAAUGCUUUUGGAUUUAGAUGGGCUCUGUUGUAUUGUUGUGAUGGUUCUAUAAGGAAAAGUUAUGUCUUUUACUCAAAAAAGACUUCCUUUUAACUUUCGGACACAAUGCUCUACCGGGUGAAGGGAGAACGAUUCAAUUGAGUAUUUUAGGCUGUAAUUUGUUCUGGGUUUUUUGAUUCAUGAUUGCUCCAUUUAUCUGUUGGUAUCAUAGAACCAUAGAUGAUUGGCUGCACUAAGAUAUAGUGGACUUUUUAUGGGCCUAUUGUUUUUUUAGGGUUUUUGAUAAAGGAGGAUUCCUUUAACUUAUUGGAAUGGAGUUUGUGUAUGCUUUUGUGUGAAUAAUUUGGGGUACGUUUUUGCCUCACAUGCCCAUGUGGUUGAUAUACUGUAUCGAUGGGUUUUCUUUGUUAUGUUGGUUGCUACUUUUUUCUUGGGUAAGUUAACCUUUUGAACUAAGGAAGUUUGAAACAGUGCGGUCGUAGUUAUUUUAGUUUUAAAUUGACUAAUGGUAAUGAUAUCUAAGAAUGUUGGAUUUAUUUUCUUUAUUUGAUGUGUUUAUGCUUAUUAUAUGGGUUAUGUUUUUGAGUUUUUAUUACAUCUUUGAAAAUCUAAUCUCAUUUUGUGCAAUUUACAAUUUUUUAAAAAUAAUGUGCAUUAUGAUAUAGAGUUACAGUUGCUAUAGGCUUGUGACUGCAUAAGCUAUUACGACUAUGAUUUAAAUCCAUGGAAUCAGCCUUCUUAAAGAGGGGAUUCUCUCAGCAAAUUUUUGCCAAAUAUAGGGGAUGGUUUAUGAGUUUAUGUGAAAAGCUGACUGAUUGGUGGGGUGAGCUCUAUGUUAUGGUUUCAGAUAAGUUAUGUAGAAAUGGAGAAGACCUAUCCUUCAUAUGUAUUGUUAUAAAAGCCCCACAGUAAACAAGCCAACAAGUUAUUGCUUUAUAGAAUUAGGUCCUACACCAUUUUCUCUGUGCAAUUUGACAUCUCAGCUUUGUAUUUUAUACACAAAGGAUUCAACUCAAAUAUUCAAAAACAAAAUCAGAUAAUUUAACCCAGAAAGUACCCCUAGUGAGAGAUACCCUCCCGGCAGAAAUCCUCUAGCUAAAACUUAGCUGGAAAAUACAAUUGUAUUUCUUUUCAUAUCUCACCUACUUGCUUCUCUAUUCUAUUUAUACACUUCUUUGGGUGCUGAUACAUUUUUAUUUUUCCAAAAAAUGUUCUAACUGUAUUGACAUGCUGCUUGAUCUCUAUUCCUUGGCCUCUACUUUUCUGGAUCCUUUGAGAUAAGUCAUCCAAGUCCUUUUGGCUCUAAAAGGCAUAAUGAUAAAUUCAUAAUGUCUAGAAUGUGUCUGAAAUGCUGUUUUAGGAAUAUCAUCCACAGCAACCUGAAUUUGGUGAACCGGAUGGAAGAUCAAGUUUGAAAAUUUUUUAAAAUUAAGGAGCACCAUGCAACUCAUCCAAUAAUUCCUGAAUGACUGAGAUAUGGUAUUAUCUAGAAUUGUAGCUUUGUUGAGCUCAUGAUAGUCAAUACAAAUAUGCCACCUCCCAUCUUUUUUGCUUUCCAAUAGAAUUGGGCUAGAUAAGAGACUAGCGCUUGGGCAAAUUAUUUCAGCAGCUGGCAUUUCAGAUAUGAGUAGUUCAAUCUCAUAGGAAUUGAUAAGGACGGAGAGAGAUGGGGCCAGUGCCUGGUUGCAAUGGAGGGGCUGAAGCUGUCCUGACUGAGCAGUAGUUAAAUCAUGAGUGUCAACUAUGGGAGGUGAAACCAUUGAAGAACACUCCCACAAGAAAGUAACAGGAGAAUGAGUUAGGGGGAUUACCACAGAGAUGAACCUUUUGCCCUUUAUGCAUAAAAGACGUUGUCAAUUUGUGCCAUGUGACUUUUAUAUUGCCUAGAGUUUCCAACCAAAAGAUUCCUAGAAUAAUGUUGGCACCACCCAGUGGAAACGACCAUCGCCUUUGUGGACCCCAAAUGUUGCUGUCUCCAAAGUGGAAAGGCCUAAUGUCUGCUCUAAUUUCUGAGAGACAAAGCAAUGGCUGGUACCAAUAUCAACCAUUAAAAUCACAGGGAAAGAAUGGAUGGUACCUUGAAAUUUUAUGGUGUGAGGGUGAGAAAUGCCGCCAACCGAAUAAAGUGGAAGAUCCAUUUGAAUCAAAUGGGUCUCAAUCAGCUCUGGUGAGGAAAGGUCCUUUCUCAUCCAUUGCUGCUAACUUGCAUAGGUUAAUCCAUUCAUCAUGUUCUUCAGCUAUAAUCAUGCAAAGGGUCUUAUUUGGGCAUUGGUGAAGUGAAGAGUGUGGUUGUUUAUAGUGGAAACAAAUGCCCUUAGCAUGUAGAUCUUGGUGCUCCUAAUGUGAAUACUGGUGAAUGUUCUUCACAUGGGAAGUGACUAAUGCCAUUGGAAUUUUAUGGAAAGAAGAAAGUGGUGUUGAUGGCUGGGCUGAAGAAUUCAAGACUUUCUCAGUGGGCUGAGGUUGAAGCAAACAGCUAGAAGAGUGAGAAGUGAUGGUGGAAGGCCAAGAUUUGGCCCUAGGAGUAGUGGCCUGGGGUCCAAGCCCCUAUGUAUAUGCUUUCUUCCCCAAGUACUCUAAGCCAGAAAAAAGAGGAGGAUGUGUUACUUGUAACUCAAGUUCCACCUCUCUUGUGGAAGCCACAGCUUAUCCCAAAACAGUGAUCUCAUGGCUUUGUAAUCGAAUACAGAUGUGCUCUCUUAAUCCAUUCAAGAAAUAGCCAACAUAGUGCAAAUCUGGGAUGUUGGCAUGAGACCCGCGAGCAAUAAACUCAUCAAUAGACCUAGUUGGUUUAAUUGCCUCCAAUCCUUGAAGGGGCUUGCCAUCGUAUCAGAUCCAUAAUUUGACAGCAGCUCAGAUAGAAUUGUGCCCAGGUGAUCAUUGGCAUGCUGGCGGCAUGUGUUGGCAGAGACACAGUAACCAAUGGAGCAUGCUGCCUUGCGUGCAUGUGAGAGCCAUGGAAACUUUGAGGUCAUCAUGAGUGCCAUUCAUCUCAAAGUAAUGCUCAGCUCUGGUUACCCAGCUGAGAGUGUCUUUACCAUCAAGUUGUGGAAGUUCCAGUUGCUUAGGGAACAGAGAGGAAUUGUCAACAGUAGGGGCAGCAGAGUGACAGCAUAUGGAACCAUCAUUGACAGUGUGGUGAUUGGAAGUAAGGGUAUUAGACACUUCAUCCUCAGGAACCAUGGUUUUCCCCCUAGCAAUGGCGGUAAGGAGAGUUUCAAUGGAGAGAGUUUAGGGUGGAUGUGCUCAUUAUCUGCCCGUAACUUUGAAAAUCCAUUCUCAAGAGAGCUGAGAGUCCUCUCUGUUGCAUCUAGCAAUUGUCUAUCCGUAUAGUUGGCAUUCGGUUUUGGUGGCAGGUUGUACCAAUUUGAUAGAGAAAGGAUUCGGCUCAAAUAUUCACAAAAAAAUAUUAGAUAAGUAGAACAAUGGAUGAGACAAAUUGGCCAGGAAUUUUAUUAUGCAGAUGUAAAUGCAACUCAGAGAGUUCCCUUGUGAGAAAUACCCUCCCGGCAGAAAAGGAAUUCUUCCCCCAAGCUAAAACUUAGCUGGAGUUACAUUUGUAUUUCUUUUCAUAUCUCACCUACUCAUCCCUCCAUUCUAUUUGUACACUUCUUUGGAUGCUGAUACAUGCUUUCCCAAAAAAUGCUCUGACCUUAUUGACACACGGCUUGAUUCUCCAUUCCUGGCCCAUCUAAUUCCCUCUAUUCUUCUGGAUCCUUCUUACCCCUUCGAGAAUAAGUCAUCCAGGUCUUAUGGUUCUGCCCCUUGGUUCAGUAUGAAUAUCUGCAACAGUAUCUGAGUUGGAAGAUGUCUGCAUUUGGAUUUUUUGAAUAUGAAUGCAUAGUUGGGAUGUCAGUUAUAGUUGUUUCUUAUGGUUGCCACUCAAGUAUACGAGCCUCUACCUGAAUUUUUUUUUUUUUUUUUUCUUGCCCCAUCACCUUUUUAUCCUGGGAUGCAAGAACUGUCUCAUUCUGGACUAAUGGUGGGAAAGAGAAGAUAUGCGUUGUCCUUUCCUGUUGUUACUUGUUCACAUCCAAGUAACUUUGAUGCUAUUACUUUGUGGAAUCUCAAAUUCAAAAUGAAAUUAUUAAUUUAUAACAGCAUUAUUUGUUUUCACAUUUCUGUAUGUAACAUCAAUAUACCAGCAUGAUAGCUUUAUACUC